GGAGGCGGGUGCUGGGCUGCGGGCAGAUGGGCAGGGUGCCCCCGGGACGUGGCUGCCAUACAGUUACUCCGGGGGGGUGAUGUGCGUUGUUGAGUCGAAUUUGGAGAACCCAGAGGAUAGCCAUGGAGCUAUAGCCAGGAAACUGCAAAAGGACACUAGAUGUGAAGAAGCAGGAGCUCAUCCAUGCACAUGCCACUAUAUGCUAGUUUGAAGCAGGCUAGAAUGUUUUGCAUAGGUCUUCUAUUUUGGUCUCUUUCAGUGGAAGCACACAGGCUGCUUCAGAAUAAACCAAGAAGCUUUGUAAGACGGAUGCUUCACAAACACCAGCUGGUGCCGAGAGAAACAGCAGUGCAGCACAGCCAAAGCCAG